rnacentral:tRNA from 1 species
UGUUUAAAAAUAGAUUUGAACUAUUAACCCAAAGAUUUUCAGUCUUUUGCUCUACCUAUUGAGCUAUUUAAAC